rnacentral:lncRNA from 1 species
CUAGGCCAGAAGGUGGUGGUCGUACAAUGCGAGAGCAUCAACAUUUCUGGCAAGUUCUACAGAAACAAGUUGAAGUACCUGGGCUUUCUCCGCAAGCGGAUGAACACCUUCUGGAGGCCCUGCCAUUUCUCGGCCCUAGCCGCAUCUUCUGGUGGAUGGUGCAAGGCCCACUGCCCCACAAGACUCACCAAGGCCAGGCCGCCCUCAACCACCUCAAGGUGUCUGACGGCAUUCCACCGCCCCAUGACAAGAAAAAGCUUUGGUGGUUCCUGCUGCCCUCAAGCUUGUGUGUCUGAAGCCUACAAGAAAAUUUGUCCGCCUGGACACCGAGCUCAUGAAGUUAGCUGGAAGUACCAGGCAGUGACAGCCACCCUGAAGAAGAGGAAGGAGAAGGCCAAGAUCCACUACCAGAAGAAGAAACAGCUUAUGAGGCUACAGAAAUAGGUGGAAAAGAACAUGAAAAAGAAAACUGACAAAUACACACAGGUCUCCUCAAGAUCCAUGGACUUCUGGUCUGA